UGCGCAUAAAAAUGGAAUGUCUUAUAUUGUGACACCAUGUGUGCUCGGGAAGGUACCAGCUUGUGAGAGAAAUAUAUUGUCUCCAUAUUCAACCCAGGAGGUGGAAACGGUAUGUUUCUCUCCAACUUUCAUAGUACCGCCCUGAAUGUUGUGAUCUUUAACUAGAUCACAGUUCACCACCAUAAAUGAGAGGAAGAUUUUCAACUUUUGCAGCAACCGGUUUCAACGAAGUUAACUUGGGUGAUCUGCCAUGUAAGUAAGUAAAUUCAGCUCUGUGUAGUCUGUGCCUGCAUAAUGAAGGUUGAUGUGUUGCGUUAUAUCAGACUGCCCAUUGUAUUUGUACUUGUGGUUGGCUCUCAGUUGUCUGUGAGAGAUUUAUAGUAUCGUGUAUGUAUUUAUUUCUCCUUUGCUAGGAGCUACUGAGCCAGAUUACCAUUUUCUUGAAAGGAGGACAUGUUAAAGGACCUAUACCAUUAUGCCACUGAACGUCACUAUGUUUCAUAUAACAUGCCAGUAUGAUUCUUUGAAAAUUUUGUUCGGGAGCCAUGUUUUUUUCAAUACAAGGUUUUGGAAUUUUCUGUGGUAUAAAUUCAAAAGAUACGCGAUCUUUCAUGGUUUACAUCAUUUGCAGAAUGUAAAAUAAUGUCUACUUCACUGUUAUAUUAACAUUCCUACAAAUAUAAACGUUUACAAAAUGGUAACGGCACGCACCUUCUAGGUUAUGUCUGACGAAUUCCAUAAUGGAAUAGGCUUUCUAAUGUAAAUUACUAAAGACAGCCGAGUUUGUAAUUAAUAACAUUUUAGGUUUCGCUGGAUUCUAGUUUCAGACUGGAGCUUUAACAGGAAGUGCGUCAUGGAAUUUCUUUGUAAUGAAAGCGGAAAUUAAUAUUUCCACUCGACGGUGCAGCUCCACCAAUGGUCUGCGGGCCUGAGUUGCAAUCAGUACGACAGGCUACGCGCAGUCACACAGCAACGCGACUCCUUACCUGUCGGACGCAGGUGGCGACAACGGGCCCAAGGAAUCGUAUAAAAGUAAAUAAAAAGGUAACUGUCAGGAAAGAUCUUCAAAAUCCAAACACUACAAGCGAUUCCCAACGAGGCUGAAUGAUACAAGGAGACGCACAGUGGCGUGUGAUUGGCCUUCGGAUCAGCUGCAUGGAUCCAGUCUCAUUUGCUACUAGAACGUUCUACUGAGAACGAAAUGGGUCUUCAUCAUCUUUUCACGUCAACUCCGUUUUAUGCCUAUCGAUCGUACUUCGAGAACAAUCGAAAUGCCCAUCUAGUAAUUGCAUAUCGAGAAACCUCUCAUCUGAAUUACUUCGAGGGGGUGUAGGGGGGGGGACACUAAAUAAUAAUAAUAAUAGACUUCUAGAAUGUUCCGUCCAGGCCCUGCUCCCAUUUACGUUUAAAGGUAGUCAUAUUUAUUUCAAUUUAGUGCAAGCGACACUGGAAAUUAAUCCCAUUAUAAGAAAUUUAAUACAGGCGAGCAUCAUAUUGCGCCAGAUUUCAUUCUCAUCGCCAUGCCAACCUAACCUAACUUUUAUUGCGUAUCUGAACGACCAACACUGGCGUCCUAAACACUUGUAUGUAUAAUUAGAUGUAUUUGAAUUGCCAGGGUUUUUAAAAGCUAACAGUGAUAUUGUUAUGCUUUGUUUCAGGAUUUUGUACUUGCUAGUGAGUGAAGAAAGAACUGCAAGAAGGAUAAAUGUGGUGAAGUGCCUUUUUCACCAUAAUCGUCAUCACCAUCCAUCAUUCGGCAGUAUUAUCAUUACAAAUUUUGCGAACUGAUAAACUCAAUUUACAGGCAGUUAAUCUUUUGCAGUGAGAAAAUGCAAAUAUGGCGCAUUACGUCAUAUUUGAAAUGAAGAGUAAUUCUUGUACCACAGAUGGCAGCACUGCCAUUUUUCUUAAUUUGGCGUAAUUUAAUUAUUCCCAAACGGGAUUAUUAUUAUUAUAAUUGUUUUUCUUUUCUGAUUAAUAUGUUUUUUGACGGAUGUGUGUCCAGACACAGACUGCAAAACUCUUCUCUUGUAAUACCAGUGUUGCUAACCUACAGCGCCUCGACGCUAAUUCCCUCUACAGACUACGCGCGUGACUAAUGCUCGGCCAACUCCUUAACCUCACUUUAUUUUGCUGCAUAUUUGUUUGAUCACUAGGUUACAGGAUUCCACUUGCUGUUACAUGUAUUUGGCAUUAAGAACAAGGAACCCUAUAACUUACCAUCGUGAUAUUAUAAUUAUAAUAUAAUAUAAUUACUUCACAGCACAGUGUGAAAGGAAAUAACCAUGCUUUGUUUAAACUUGUCGAUAUUGUUAUAAUUUUCUGUUCGAAUCCUAAAAGAAUGGCUCAUUAUCUGACUGUUGAUGCUGCUGUGCGUUUAAUAACAUUGUUGAUGUUGCAUUUCAGUGGCGAAGCGGAGUCCAAGUUGCAUCAGGAGAUGCGUCGAACAAGGGGCAUUGCAUCCCAUUCAAUGCCAUUCGCUGUGCUGACGUCAAACAGCGGAAUCGAAAGAAACGUCAACAGAUGGACACACCUGCAUCGGAAAAGACGUCACGAACUCCAGAUCAGCGCGGACAGGCCACGGAGGUUCAACCGGUGUGGCCUCGUUGUCACUUAUCGGCGGUUCUUACGUCAAAUAAAAUCACGCACCUUUAUUAUGUAGUUUGCAUGAAAAUAAAAAGAUUUUUAUUUUCUCUGAGUUAAAUCUGGCACAUAUUAAUAAACUUGAUGUAAAAAAGCAUAUACAGUAAUUCUGAGUUUGUUAAUAUUGUUGUGUGCAUUUAUUUCCACAGAAUACAAACAUUGGUUUUUACAGUGA